GAUGAAGAACGUAGCAAAAUGCGAUACUUGGUGUGAAUUGCAGAAUCCCGUGAACCAUCGAGUUUUUGAACGCAAGUUGCGCCCGAAGCCUUUUGGCCGAGGGCACGUCUGCCUGGGCGUCACGCAUCGCGUCGCCCCCCACAAUUCUCCGUAAAGGGAACAUGUGUUUUGGGGGCGGAUAUUGGUCUCCCGUGCUCAUGGCGUGGUUGGCCGAAAUAGGAGUCCUUUCGAUGGACGCACGAACUAGUGGUGGUCGUAAAAACCCUCGUCUUUUGUUUCGUGCUGUUGCUCGCAAGGUAAGCUCUUUAAAAUCCCCAAUGUGUCGUCUCUUGACGACGCUUCGACCGCGACCACAGGUCAGGCGGGACUACCCGCUGAGUUUAAGCAUAUCAAUAAGCGGAGGA
rnacentral:misc_RNA from 1 species